AUGUUACAGAGGAGUGCGCGGCUGGCCGGCCUAUGUGAUGUUCCUGCCUGCGGCUGCCACCAGGCUGUGCAUGCGGCUUGCUUUGUUCAGCCCCUUUCAGUUGAGCUGGGUCCUGGUAUCCUCGGGAACAUCUUUUUAGGGAAUCCAGGCCCUCUAAAAUAUCUCCUUUUAUUGUUUGCUUCAACUGUUGGAGAUGUUCUCGCAGGCGGAGAUCUAUAUGAUGAUACAGUGCUAGAGUUAGAAUUUCAGGGCCUGAAAANNNNNNNNNNNNNNNNNNNNUACUCCAGUUCUGAAGCUGUGGUUUAUGUGAGAUGUGGUGAAAGAACAAAUGAGAUGGCUUGGGUUCUCAUGGACUUGCCCCAAUUGACAAUGACGUUCCCCAACAGACGUGAAGAGUUUGUCAUGAAGAGAACAACAUUGGUUUCUAACGCGUCUAACAUGCCUGUCGCUGCUCGUGAAGCCUCCAUUUAUACAGGUAAAGGUGUAAUGCCUUGA
rnacentral:rRNA from 1 species